CGCGUAGGCGGCAUGGCAAGUCAGAUGUGAAAUCCCCGAGCUUAACUCGGGAACUGCAUCUGAAACUGCUUUGCUUGAGUCCUGGAGGGGGUAGUGGAAUUCCCAGUGUAGCGGUGAAAUGCGUAGAUAUUGGGAGGAACACCGGUGGCGAAGGCGGCUACCUGGACAGUGACUGACGCUGAGGCGCGAAAGCUAGGGGAGCGAACGGGAUUAGAUACCCCGGUAGUCCUAGCCGUAAACGAUGGGCACUUGGUGUUGGGGGUAUUGAGUCCCCCGGUGCCGGAGCUAACGCGUUAAGUGCCCCGCCUGGGGAGUACGGUCGCAAGACUGAA
rnacentral:rRNA from 1 species